CUGGCUCAGGAUGAACGCUAGCGACAGGCCUAACACAUGCAAGUCGAGGGGCAGCGCGGGAGAAGCUUGCUUUCCUGGCGGCGACCGGCGCACGGGUGCGUAACAGGUGUGCAAUCUGUCCAUAGUCGGGGGAUAGCCCAGCGAAAGCUGAAUUAACACUCCAUGUGAAUCGAAGCCGCAUGACUUUGAUUUGAAACGCAAGGACUAUGGGUGAGCACGCUUCUGAUUAGCUAGUUGGUGGGGUAACGGCUCACCAAGGCAACGAUCAGUAGGGUUCUGAGAGGAAGGUCCCCCACAUUGGAACUGAGACACGGUCCAAACUCCUACGGGAGGCAGCAGUGAGGAAUAUUGGUCAAUGGGCGAGGGCCUGAACCAGCCAAGUCGCGUAGGAAGGAUGAAGGUUCUAUGGAUUGUAACUUCUUUUGUCCGAGGGUAAAAGAGGCCACGUGUGGCUUCUUGCAAGUAUCGGACGAAUAAGCAUCGGCUAACUCCGUGCCAGCCGCGGC
rnacentral:rRNA from 1 species